UACAGAGGUGGCAAGCGUUGUUCGGAAUUACUGGGCGUAAAGGGCGCGUAGGCGGUCCGAUAAGUCCCGUGUGAAAUCCCUCGGCUCAACUGGGGAACUGCGUCUGAUACUGGAUGGCUUGGAUUUGGGAGAGGGAUGCGGAAUUCCAGGUGUAGCGGUGAAAUGCGUAGAUAUCUGGAGGAACACCGGUGGCGAAGGCGGCAUCCUGGACCAAUAUUGACGCUGAGGAGCGAAAGCCAGGGGAGCAAACGGG
rnacentral:rRNA from 1 species